UAAGUGCUCAAGGACAUUCGCAAAUACCUG
rnacentral:piRNA from 1 species